CCUACGGGAGGCAGCAGUGGGGAAUAUUGCACAAUGGGGGAAACCCUGAUGCAGCGACGCCGCGUGAGUGAAGAAGUAAUUCGUUACGUAAAGCUCUAUCAGCAGGGAAGAAAAUGACGGUACCUGAGUAAGAAGCCCCGGCUAACUACGUGCCAGCAGCCGCGGUAAUACGUAGGGGGCAAGCGUUAUCCGGAUUUACUGGGUGUAAAGGGAGCGUAGACGGUGCGCCAAGUCUGGAGUGAAAUGCCGCAGCUUAACUGCGGAACUGCUUUGGAAACUGGCGAACUAGAGUGCGGGAGGGGUAAGCGGAAUUCCUAGUGUAGCGGUGAAAUGCGUAGAUAUUAGGAGGAACACCGGUGGCGAAGGCGGCCUGCUGGGCUCUAACUGACGCUGAGGCACGAAAGCGUGGGUAGCAAACAGGAUUAGAUACCCUUGUAGUC
rnacentral:rRNA from 1 species